AUUAAGUUUCUUGAAAUCAAACAUAUCUUGAGUCGAUCUAAUAAUGGUAGCGAUUUCUUUUCAGAAAGUGAAGAAAUUCUCGUUGGCGGAACAGGGAGAAGAGAGAGCAGAUUCGACCACCAAGAAGCAAAGUUAAAAUUUUCAGUUCUCUUGGGCAUCUGUAUGAUGAGAAACUCGAUCCUUUCUCUCCAUUUAUGUCAGCAAUUUAAGCGUUUGACUAACACAGCUUAAUCGCACUUCUAUUCUGAUUGGGUUUUCACAUUAUAUGAUUUUGAGCUUCAAUGAAUGGGAAUCACCUACUUUUGGAAAACAAGGCUAUGUUUCCUUUUCAUUUCAUUUGAUACUGCAAAAUGUUUACCGAAAUCU
rnacentral:lncRNA from 1 species